UGGAUGGUAUCCCUAUCGGGAGCCGUACCUUAUUUUGAAUUUAAGUAUAAAUUGCUCUGAUCCAUAGGGACGGGGACUAGAAU
rfam:Clostridiales bacterium GWB2_37_7 gwb2_scaffold_2624, whole genome shotgun sequence.